GAUGAACGCUGGCGGCGUGCCUAAUACAUGCAAGUCGAGCGAACGGACGAGAAGCUUGCUUCUCUGAUGUUAGCGGCGGACGGGUGAGUAACACGUGGAUAACCUACCUAUAAGACUGGGAUAACUUCGGGAAACCGGAGCUAAUACCGGAUAAUAUUUUGAACCGCAUGGUUCAAAAGUGAAAGACGGUCUUGCUGUCACUUAUAGAUGGAUCCGCGCUGCAUUAGCUAGUUGGUAAGGUAACGGCUUACCAAGGCAACGAUGCAUAGCCGACCUGAGAGGGUGAUCGGCCACACUGGAACUGAGACACAGUCCAGACUCCUACGGGAGGCAGCAGUAGGGAAUCUUCCGCAAUGGGCGAAAGCCUGGCGGAGCAACGCCGCGUGAGUGAUAGAGGUCUUCGGAUCGUAAAACUCUGUUAUUAGGGGAGAACAUAUGUGUAAGUAACUGUGCACAUCUUGACGGUACCUAAUCAGAAAGCCACGGCUAACUACGUG
rnacentral:rRNA from 1 species